GGUGCUGGGAGUAGAGACGGUUCCUGUGCUGAAGCAGCCCACAGUUUUUAGAGGGGAGAAAGAGAGAGAGGGAAGAGACGUUCUGGAGGCAAAGAAACGCUAGCAUCAGAAGACACCUUAUUUGAGAGAUUUCAUUGAUUCAUUAGUGAUUCAUGAACUGAAGAACCCAUGGCCAAUAGCACCAUAACUGGAGCCUGAAUGAAAGCCCUCAAGAGUCUUCUCUUCCCAUUCUGCAAGCCCGAGGAGCAUUCUUCAGACCUUCCAAGGCCUCCGGAUGUAUCCUGCAGAUUGUUGCAAACCUCAGGUAUAUCCUCAUUUCAAUUAAAAGACAAGAGCU